rnacentral:lncRNA from 1 species
AUCUGCUUCAUCGUUACCUUUCCUCCCCCGAGAGGCUUGGUAGACCCUUCCAUAUAUUCUCCUUAAAAAUUAAAAAUAAUAAUGAAAUGGCAUACGGGACAUUUUGUGGGGCCUUCUUCAUAGCCCGUAUUUUAAGUGGGAAAAUUUAGACUAAAUAAUGCUCGCUUCAGGUAAAGAACAUUGCAGAUCUGUAUGGUGUAAUCAUAUCAGAGGAAAAGAACCAAACGGAGAUUGUUGAGUCAAGGUGAUAAACAGUAAAAUAAUUCUCAUCUGGUCCCCAGCAAAAGGAAUCUUCUCAGAACUUUUUUGGAAGGUAUUUUCUCAGUGUUUUUAGUGGUUUUAAUAUACAGAUGGCUUAAGCUCUUUAAUU